rnacentral:rRNA from 1 species
CCAGAUGGGAUUAGCUAGUAGGUGGGGUAACGGCUCACCUAGGCGACGAUCCCUAGCUGGUCUGAGAGGAUGACCAGCCACACUGGAACUGAGACACGGUCCAGACUCCUACGGGAGGCAGCAGUGGGGACUAUUGCACAAUGGGCGCAAGCCUGAUGCAGCCAUGCCGCGUGUAUGAAGAAGGCCUUCGGGUUGUAAAGUACUUUCAGCGGGGAGGAAGGUGUUGUGGUUAAUAACCACAGCAAUUGACGUUACCCGCAG